CGGGGUGUAGUUUAACGGUAGAAUGCGCGCAUGGGGUGCGUGUGGAUGGGGUUCAAUUCCCCACAUCCCGA
rfam:Candidatus Levybacteria bacterium RIFCSPHIGHO2_02_FTLL_40_18 rifcsphigho2_02_scaffold_49, whole genome shotgun sequence.